AAGUCGUAACAAGGUUUCCGUAGGUGAACCUGCGGAAGGAUCAUUAAUAAAUGUACGCCUAGAGAAAGUCUUAAACUACUUGAUCUAGUGCUGUAUAUAACCACCUGUUUACCUUUACCUGUUGCUUCCGUGGAAUUACGGGUGCUCUUUCUGUUCGCAGACUUGAGUUACCUUCCACGGGUGUAUUUAAAAAAUUGUCUUGCUGAAUUGUCUGAUAUAAAAUUUUAAUAAGUUAAAACUUUCAACAACGGAUCUCUAGGUUCUC
rnacentral:misc_RNA from 1 species